GUCUCCGCGUCCCUCCGAGCGCCGCGGCGAGGGGCGGCGGGCAGUCCCGGCGGGGGACUAUUUUCCGGCAGCGGAGGAGCACCGUCGCGGAUGGGCAGUAGUGGUGCAUCCCUUCCUGGUCGGAGGUGCCGAGGGCAGCGCCCCCUUCCCGCGUGUCCUGGUUUGAGGUGAAGCAGAACCAACUUUCUGUUCAGUAAUUUUAUUUCUCAGCUAGGCGUCUUCGAACUCUCUGAAAUUAUCAGCAUGUUGUGUCUGAAAAGGUUCGUUCAGAGCGAUAAGACAGUUUGUGCCAAGGAAUGGUGUGCACAGAGGCUCUUGCUUAUACUUACUGCUACAACAACCCAAGUCAGCUAAUUUUGUUAUUUGCCCCGUUGGGAGGGUCAGGAGCGGAAAAGCGUAGAGGGGUCCCACCUGCAGGGGGGACCGGACGGGACAGGUGACCCAAAACUGACCAACAGGGUAUUCCAUCCCAUCUGCCCCAUGCUCAGUAUAAAAGCUGAGGGAUCAAAGGGUCAAUCUCUUCCUUCAAUGGCUGAUGUCCGAGGAGGACCCUGUCUGUUCAUCUGCCUUUGAUCCUGAUCCGUGGGCUCCUGACUCCAUCUGUGGAACCCGGUUCCCACUCGUGCUGAGUCCGGCCUGGGACGUCCCCAGUGCCUGCUGGUGACGUCAUCCUGAGAGCUUAAUAGGGUUGCGUGUAUACUGUAUCUCUUUCAUUAUUUUCCUUUUUAUCUUAAUUUCUAACUCAUUAAAGUUGUUUAGUUUCUUCUAAA